GGGGAAUUAGCUCAGUUGGCUAGAGCACCUGCUUUGCAAGCAGGGGGUCAUCGGUUCGACUCCGAUAUUCUCCACAA
rnacentral:tRNA from 2 species